GAUGAACGCUGGCGGCGUGCCUAAUACAUGCAAGUCGAGCGAACAGACGAGGAGCUUGCUCCUCUGACGUUAGCGGCGGACGGGUGAGUAACACGUGGAUAACCUACCUAUAAGACUGGGAUAACUUCGGGAAACCGGAGCUAAUACCGGAUAAUAUAUUGAACCGCAUGGUUCAAUAGUGAAAGACGGUUUUGCUGUCACUUAUAGAUGGAUCCGCGCCGCAUUAGCUAGUUGGUAAGGUAACGGCUUACCAAGGCAACGAUGCGUAGCCGACCUGAGAGGGUGAUCGGCCACACUGGAACUGAGACACGGUCCAGACUCCUAAGGGAGGCAGAAGUAGGGAAUCUUCCGCAAUGGGCGAAAGCCUGACGGAGCAACGCCGCGUGAGUGAUGAAGGUCUUCGGAUCGUAAAACUCUGUUAUUAGGGAAGAACAAAUGUGUAAGUAACUAUGCACGUCUUGACGGUACCUAAUCAGAAAGCCACGGCUAACUACGUG
rnacentral:rRNA from 1 species